GGGGUAGUAGCUCAAUGGUAGAGCUCUUGUCUGGUACACAUGAAGCUCUAGGUUCAAUACCCCAUUCUUCCU
rnacentral:tRNA from 1 species